CAGGCCUAACACAUGCAAGUCGAGCGCGCCUUCGGGUGAGCGGCGGACGGGUUAGUAACGCGUGGGAACGUGCCCUUUUCUACGGAGUAGCCUCUGGAAACGGAGAGUAAUACCGUAUACGCCCUUUGGGGGAAAGAUUUAUCGGAGAAGGAUCGGCCCGCGUUAGAUUAGGUAGUUGGUGGGGUAACGGCCUACCAAGCCUUCGAUCUAUAGCUGGUUUUAGAGGAUGAUCAGCAACACUGGGACUGAGACACGGCCCAGACUCCUACGGGAGGCAGCAGUGGGGAAUCUUAGACAAUGGGGGCAACCCUGAUCUAGCCAUGCCGCGUGAGUGAUGAAGGCCUUAGGGUCGUAAAGCUCUUUCGCCUGUGAUGAUAAUGACAGUAGCAGGUAAAGAAACCCCGGCUAACUCCGUGCCAGCAGCCGCGGUAAUACGGAGGGGGUUAGCGUUGUUCGGAAUUACUGGGCGUAAAGCGCGCGUAGGCGGAUUAGAAAGUUGGGGGUGAAAUCCCGGGGCUCAACCUCGGAACUGCCUCCAAAACUGCUAGUCUAGUGUUCGAGAGAGGUGAGUGGAAUUCCGAGUGUAGAGGUGAAAUUCGUAGAUAUUCGGAGGAACACCAGUGGCGAAGGCGGCUCACUGGCUCGAUAC
rnacentral:rRNA from 1 species